rnacentral:rRNA from 1 species
UACAGGGGGUGCAAACGUUGCUCGGAAUUAUUGGGCGUAAAGCGCGCGUAGGCGGCCACUUAAGUCGGAUGUGAAAGCCCCUGGCUCAACUGGGGAAGUGCACCCGAAACUGAAUGGCUUGAGUGCGAAAGAGGGUCGCGGAAUUCCCGGUGUAGAGGUGAAAUUCGUAGAUAUCGGGAGGAACACCGGUGGCGAAAGGCGGCGACCUGGGUCGACACUGGACGCUGAGGCGCGAAAGCGUGGGAGCAAACAGG